rnacentral:rRNA from 1 species
UGGUGGAGUGAUUUGUCUGGUUAAUUCCGGUAACGAACGAGACUCUGGCCUACUAACUAGUGGACGUUGUUUUGGUUGCAUAUGGCCGCGUCCAAUAAUAUCUUCUUAGAGGGAUGAGCAGCAUGUAUAGCUGCAGGAGAUUGAGCAAUAACA